GAUCCGGCGUGUAGCAAUACAAACCGGUGAGAGCGGCGAAAGGGUGAGUAACGCGUGGGUAAUCUGCCUCCGAGAUGGGGAUAACUUCUCGAAAGGGAAGCUAAUACCGAAUGUGGUCGCUCCGCGCAUGCGGGGAGGACUGAAGGCGGGGAUCUUAGGACCUGCCACUAGGAGAUGAGCCCGCGUACCAUCAGCUUGUUGGCGGGGUAACGGCCCACCAAGGCUAACGGUUGCUGGUCUGAGAGGAUGGUCAGCCACACUGGGACUGAGACACUGCCCAGACUCCUACGGGAGGCUGCAGUCGAGGAUCAUUUGCAGUGCGCGAAAGCGUGACAAUGCGACGCUGCGUGGAGGAUGAAGGCCCUCGGGUUGUAAACUCCUGUCAUUCGGGAAAAACGAUCUCCGACCUAAUACGUCGGGGAAGUGAUGGUACCGGAAGAGGAAGCCACGGCUAACUCUGUGCCAGCAGCCGCGGUAAUACAGAGGUGGCGAGCGUUGUUCGGAUUCACUGGGCGUAAAGGGUGCGUAGGUGGCCGGGUAUGUCGGAUGUGAAAUCCCACCGCUCAGCGGUGGAACUGCGUCCGAAACUGCUCGGCUUGAGUGCAGGAUGGGAGAGCGGAAUUCUUGGUGUAGCGGUGAAAUGCGUUGAUAUCAAGAGGAACACCGGUGGCGAAGGCGGCUCUCUGGAAUGCAACUGACACUGAGGCACGAAAGCUGGGGAAGCAAACAGGAUUAGAUACCCUGGUAGUCCCAGCUGUAAACGGUGUACACUUGGUGUGGGGGGAAUUGCCCCCUCCGUGCCGGAGCUAACGCGUUAAGUGUACCGCCUGGGGAGUACGGCCGCAAGGUUAAAACUCAAAGAAAUUGACGGGGGCCCGCACAAGCGGAGGAGCAUGUGGCUUAAUUCGAUCCACGCGAAGAACCUUACCAGGGCUUGACAUGCAGCUGCACGCCCCGCGAAAGCGGGGAAGCCUUCGAGGGUGCUGCACAGGUGCUGCAUGGCUGUCGUCAGUUCGUGCCGUGAGGUGUUGGGUUAAGUCCCGCAACGAACGCAACCCCUGUGUCUGGUUGCCACCGCCGGCGCAAGUCGGCGAGCACUCGAGACAGACUGCCCGUACAAGCGGGAGGAAGGUGGGGACGACGCCAAGUCAGUAUGGCCCUUACGUCCUGGGCUGCACACGUGCUACAAUGGCCGGCUCAAUGGGGUGCAAGACCGCGAGGUGAGCAAAUCCACAACACCGGCCCCAGUUCAGAUUGCAGUCUGCAACUCGACUGCAUGAAGUCGGAUUCGCUAGUAACGGCGCAUCAGCUACGGCGCCGUGAAUACGUUCCCGGGCCUUGUACACACCGCCCGUCACAUCAUGAAAGCCGUCUGCACCCGAAGUCGCUGAGCUAACCCGCAAGGGAGGCAGGCGCCGAAGGUGUGGGUGGUGAUUGGGAUGAAGUCGUAACAAGGUA
rnacentral:rRNA from 1 species